AGAGUUUGAAUCCUGGCUCAGGACGAACGCUGGCGGCGUGCCUAAUACAUGCAAGUCGAACGAACUCUGGUAUUGAUUGGUGCUUGCAUCAUGAUUUACAUUUGAGUGAGUGGCGAACUGGUGAGUAACACGUGGGAAACCUGCCCAGAAGCGGGGGAUAACACCUGGAAACAGAUGCUAAUACCGCAUAACAACUUGGACCGCAUGGUCCGAGCUUGAAAGAUGGCUUCGGCUAUCACUUUUGGAUGGUCCCGCGGCGUAUUAGCUAGAUGGUGGGGUAACGGCUCACCAUGGCAAUGAUACGUAGCCGACCUGAGAGGGUAAUCGGCCACAUUGGGACUGAGACACGGCCCAAACUCCUACGGGAGGCAGCAGUAGGGAAUCUUCCACAAUGGACGAAAGUCUGAUGGAGCAACGCCGCGUGAGUGAAGAAGGGUUUCGGCUCGUAAAACUCUGUUGUUAAAGAAGAACAUAUCUGAGAGUAACUGUUCAGGUAUUGACGGUAUUUAACCAGAAAGCCACGGCUAACUACGUGCCAGCAGCCGCGGUAAUACGUAGGUGGCAAGCGUUGUCCGGAUUUAUUGGGCGUAAAGCGAGCGCAGGCGGUUUUUUAAGUCUGAUGUGAAAGCCUUCGGCUCAACCGAAGAAGUGCAUCGGAAACUGGGAAACUUGAGUGCAGAAGAGGACAGUGGAACUCCAUGUGUAGCGGUGAAAUGCGUAGAUAUAUGGAAGAACACCAGUGGCGAAGGCGGCUGUCUGGUCUGUAACUGACGCUGAGGCUCGAAAGUAUGGGUAGCAAACAGGAUUAGAUACCCUGGUAGUCCAUACCGUAAACGAUGAAUGCUAAGUGUUGGAGGGUUUCCGCCCUUCAGUGCUGCAGCUAACGCAUUAAGCAUUCCGCCUGGGGAGUACGGCCGCAAGGCUGAAACUCAAAGGAAUUGACGGGGGCCCGCACAAGCGGUGGAGCAUGUGGUUUAAUUCGAAGCUACGCGAAGAACCUUACCAGGUCUUGACAUACUAUGCAAAUCUAAGAGAUUAGACGUUCCCUUCGGGGACAUGGAUACAGGUGGUGCAUGGUUGUCGUCAGCUCGUGUCGUGAGAUGUUGGGUUAAGUCCCGCAACGAGCGCAACCCUUAUUAUCAGUUGCCAGCAUUAAGUUGGGCACUCUGGUGAGACUGCCGGUGACAAACCGGAGGAAGGUGGGGAUGACGUCAAAUCAUCAUGCCCCUUAUGACCUGGGCUACACACGUGCUACAAUGGAUGGUACAACGAGUUGCGAACUCGCGAGAGUAAGCUAAUCUCUUAAAGCCAUUCUCAGUUCGGAUUGUAGGCUGCAACUCGCCUACAUGAAGUCGGAAUCGCUAGUAAUCGCGGAUCAGCAUGCCGCGGUGAAAUACGUUCCCGGGCCUUGUACACACCGCCCGUCACACCAUGAGAGUUUGUAACACCCAAAGUCGGUGGGGUAACCUUUUAGGAACCAGCCGCCUAAGGUGGGACAGAUGAUUAGGGUGAAGUCGUA
rnacentral:rRNA from 1 species